UGGGGACGGUAGUCUGUGUGAGGAAAGGCAGCUAAUGGCUUCUAUGCUGUUUGAAAGCUGUAAGGAAAAGCCUCUUGCAGGAGGAGGGUUUGCUAAGGUUGUUUCUAAGCCCUUACAUCUAAAAGCUCUGAGCCUUCAGGGAGGAUUAUGAGCAAGAAGAAGUUAUGUGCUUUCACCUAUGCCAUCUGUGAUGUUUGUAUUUCUUGGUGACCUUUUCAACAGUUUGUUGUUCUCAUUCUUCUGUCCAUAUGAGAGAGAUGGAAUUCUCCAAGGGAAGCUACUUGAACAUAUGGCAAGGAUCCUCAUCUCCCAGACCAGAACUCCAAAGCAGAGAUCACAGCCCUGACAUUUAAAGCUUCAAGAUUCUCAUAUUUCAAGCAUAUAAUCUGAAUUACACAAUUUUCCU